AGUGAACGCUGGCGGUAGGCCUAACACAUGCAAGUCGAACGGCAGCACAGGAGAGCUUGCUCUCUGGGUGGCGAGUGGCGGACGGGUGAGGAAUACAUCGGAAUCUACUCUGUCGUGGGGGAUAACGUAGGGAAACUUACGCUAAUACCGCAUACGACCUACGGGUGAAAGCAGGGGACCUUCGGGCCUUGCACGAUUGAAUGAGCCGAUGUCGGAUUAGCUAGUUGGCGGGGUAAAGGCCCACCAAGGCGACGAACCGUAGCUGGUCUGAGGGGAUAAUCAGCCACACUGGAACUGAGACACGUGCCAGACUCCUACGGGAGGCAGCAGUGGGGAAUAUUGGACAAUGGGCGCAAGCCUGAUCCAGCCAUACCGCGUGGGUGAAGAAGGCCUUCGGGUUGUAAAGCCCUUUUGUUGGGAAAGAAAUCCAGCUGGCUAAUACCCGGUUGGGAUGACGGUACCCAAAGAAUAAGCACCGGCUAACUUCGUGCCAGCCGCCGCCGUAA
rnacentral:rRNA from 1 species